AAGAUAGUUGGAAGGAAGAAAAAAAAAAAGUGAAUUAUUGCUGCCUGUGUGUGUGGGCUUCUCUCUCUUAACUUUUGCCUUUUGAGAUUUCUGAUUCAAUGAGAGAGGAAAAAGCAGACAGCGAGUUGCAGAGAAGAAGAAGAAGAAAACAGAGAACGACGGAAGAAGAAUGAAAGAAUUAUAUGAUGACGAGGAAGAUGCAGAAGAAGAAGAAGAAGAAAUGAGGGAAGGGAAAUGAUAGGGGAGACAGAGAGAGGUUUGGGUAAUAAAGUGGUUAUAUUUAAGGCAAAGAUCCGGUGACGGUGGCACCGGCCAUGUUGGCUUUUACAACUUUUGCUAGUUUGGAUUUUCGGAUUUUGGACCUUGUAUUACAUUUUGGACCUCCUCUUGUGUUCAGCUAGAGAACGAUUAACUUUCUUUCACUGCAAGAAAUAGCCACCCCCAAAAAAAUGGUGGUGCGGCCAUUGACACUCCACCAUGUGUUUUUGUUUUUUAAGUAACAACAUCCAUUUGCAUUAACAUAAAUAGACCGUGAGAUUACGUUAAGAUAGAUUGUGUUUGUCACUACAUUGUUAUGUGAGGAAUACUCAUUUUAUGAGGACCUAGCGGGUUCUUUUCUAACAUUGUUAACAUGAGCCAUGAAAGGUGUACUCAUGGUUUUUGUUCAUAAGAAAGAAAAAUAUAGCUUCUAAUUUUAAGGUAGCUUCUCUAUAUGGGAGAGCUUCCGAUGAGGACAUUAUAUCAAAGACUAAGUAAAGACUUUCAAAUGAACGGUUGAAUAACAUGCAUAUUGAAAUUUGGAGAUAUCAAUAGAAGUUUAAACCACUCAUCUACUUGUUCAUUUGAAAGUUCUUACAUGCUCCUCAUGAUAUGAUCUUUAUUGGAACCUCUCCUUAUGGAAAAAUACUCAAUUUAAAUAAAUAUAUACUUGUCGAUAUGUGAACUUUAAAAACAAAAAAUAGCGAGUAACUUUUCACUUAAGCACCUAGUUGUGAUAAAUAUAUUGUUGCGUUCAACCAAACAUAUUAGGGCUACACUUGUCCAAAGACACUUUCUUUUUUUUCUUUUUUUUGAUUUAAUGUCCAUAGACACUUGAAAUUAACAUUACAAUCCAAUAUAUAUUUUUUUAGGGAAAGGAGAUAAAUCCAUUGAUCAAAGAUCAUGACGACUAAACUGUCAAGCAUGAAUAGUCCAAAUACCAUAGCUAGAAGCUAAAUCAAACCUACAUCUAAGAAUUGAAAAACGACCUCAAAACUACAUCAAAAAAAGUGGAUAUGAAUCAUCAAAAAGCAAAUUAACCUUCCAAAACCUAGCAACAACUCAACUCUCAACGAUUCAGGCCUAAGACCUCAAAACGGUGUACCUUUCAUCAAUGAGAAGAGAGAGAGGAUUAUUGGGUUUUGAAAGGAUCUUUAUCCUAACUAAGAGCCUAGUCCAAAAUGGGCCCAUUUGAAGAGAGAGAACGAGUGGGCCACAAGGCACAUCCCACAUCCUCCUCCCAACUCAAGUAGACAAAGUUAGGGCUAUAGCGCCAUCCCCGCCACACCUCAAUCCGGCGGUCAUCCUUGACGGUAGAACAUGACGACCAGAUUCUGGAGUACCUUCUUCAUAUAGCAGCCAAGCACAACCUUCGUGCCUUUAAGCUUCCUCAAUCCGUCGUCGUUGCGCUGAUGUACCAUCAACUCUCGCUACAACACUCCGCACGCCUUCACCUGUUUCCACCAAUGUUCGUCUUUCGUCGUCGUCGUCGCCAAGAUCAUCAACCAGACCAAACGCUAAAGAGAUCAGCGGCCUAAAGCCAAAUAGUUGGAGCCCUUGUGCACGACAAAACCACCACCGCCGAGUGGAUUACCAAGGUGAACGCCGUUGAAAGAAACCUACAGUCAGAAGACUCCACCGCCCUGCAUCAAAACCCUAGGGUUUGGUAUUCUUAGCUCCCUAGCCUCCGCCUUUGGUGGAGUGAUUUUUUUUCAAACUCAACGAAUAUUUGUGUUCUUAAUUAACAUCAAAUGAAAUUACUCUGUGUAAAUAACCAAUUUGGUCAUUACAAUCCAAUAUAUUUUUUAGGGUUAAAUUAAGUUUAGCCUGAGCUAUUCAAUUUAUGUCUCGUUUGUCCAAUUGGUUAUGCUCUGUCUAAAUUGGAUGUUAAAUUUGAUAAUGAGACCCAAUUUAAGGGCUAGAAUGAUCAUUUAAAGAUUAAAAAAAAAAAAACUUAAUUUUAGAAUGAAAGAAAAAACUAACGACUAAAAAAAGAAUAUAACCCAUGACAGGUGAGAUUAAAUCUGAUCACCGAGCUUCUCCUAUGCAUAACGAAAACAACCUCACCCUAUCUGGAACCCAAUAUGAUCGAAUCUCCUUGGGCGCACACAAUAUCAAUAUGCAUUCGAGAAACACAACAAAAUCAAUAAUCACAAAAUUCAAUCCGUGCUCUGAGAGUUUGAUUCUAGGCUCUACAUGCUCAUUUCACUCAUUUGUUAAGGGCUUAGCCCAACUUGUAGUAGAUUAAUUGAGGUCCUUUCGGGCCCAGUUUAGGUAGGAAGUUGUAUGUGGUUACAGAGUACUCCUUUUAUUGUAGGAGAUAAACUUCAUCUAUAUAUCUGUAAAUCAUUGUAGAUUUUGGGGAGCCCUUUUAAAGAGAGUCUCUAUAAUGAGGCCUAGUUGAGGACUUUUUAGUUUAUGGUUUAAAAAACCAUUUUGUCACAUUUUUGGCAUCUCAUCCGUUCAAUCUGUAGGUAUAUAUGAGUAGGUUACUUAUGCAAAUUUUCAACCAAAUUGGUGAUCGUUAAAGUAUCGAAUGAGAUUAAAUCACUGUACGAACCAAAUUUGGCAAACAUGAACCGUUUAAAUUUAUAAUUGGUAAAUCACACUUAUGAAUAUCUUCAUGAUUUCCAAUUUGGUUGAAAAUAUGCAAAAACGAUAUACUCAUAAAUACCUAUAAACUGAAUGGUAAAGAUGUGGAUAUACGAUAAAAAAGUGGGUGAAACAAAGAAGUCCUCAACUAGUCCUCAACUAGUCCUCUUUAUGGAUGUCCUCAUCAGAAGGGGCUCCGUAGAUUGUGUAUGGAUGCAUGAAUAUGAAUGUUGUUUAAUUUAUUUCUUUCUAUUUCCUUUAAUUUACUUAUUUCAUUACCUUUUAUGGAUUUCGAUCCGAACAUGCCCCCAAUAGACCCCGACAAACCACGUAUUUCCCUCUAAUAGACCCCUUAGACCUCUUAUCGUCGGAGUCCAGUCAAUGCUCUCCGAUAUCCAAUCAUAAACUUUUUAUUGCACAAUAGACCUUCUAUUACCCUUGUAGAGGUCUUUUGUAAUUUAUUUAAUUCAUUAAAGGUAUAAUUGUCUUUUUGCUGUUCAAGUUGGUUAUUGAAAAUUAAAAAUUUUGAUUUUGUUGAUGGGAUAAAUUCUCAAAAUUAGGACUAAUAAGAAUUAACACACACACACACACGUGUGUGUAUGUAGGAGAAAGGAAAAGGAGAACGUUGGGCUUGUCACCAAUCAUGUAACCUGAGGCGAGAUCAAGCGUUAAUUUGUGGGGAGACAUGAAUUUGGGUGGAGAAGUUUGAGACAAGCUCGUUGAGAGUUAUAGAGGAAGGUAGGGGGACUGAAGAGUAGGUUUCACGUUCCUAGCUAUUUGACCUGCUAUGGGUUUUAGGAGAAUUCAUCUAAGAUCAUGCUUUUCAUUUAAACCAAUCAACGUUUGAUAUGGUUUCGUGCGCACUUUAGGAAAAAUAUGGACGUGCGCUUUAUAACGUCCUUGUAUAUUUACACACACACACACACACACACACACACACACACACACACAUAUAUAUACGGACAGGAUCAGAAGAGGACGUCCGCAA
rnacentral:lncRNA from 1 species